UAAACCUGAAUUCAGAGGUGUGUCCUAACUCCUGGGAGAGAUGAUAAAUUUGGAAACUUCACAAUGAUUCAGGACUGUUGUGAUGUAAUUCCUGAAGAGGAGGCAUGUCAUUUCAGUCCGCUGCUGGCAGUGUUGUUUAAAUGUUUUGUUGUUGUAUUCUUUUUGUCAUGUCGUUUUCAUCAUGUUGUUUAUUAAACCUUUUGCUUAACUUUCAA